ensembl:lncRNA
AUGAACACGCUGAGCGUGAAUUUUUUGAAGACGAUGUCGAGGAGGAUUACUCUCCUCCUCGACAACAAAAUCACUUCACCCACCAAUAUUCAAGACCUCAACACACAAUUUCAAAAGAGUAGUUCCAUGUAUAAUUUUCCCUCACGCUCUUUUUCUAGACAACGAAACAAAAGAGUUUCCUUUGUUAACCAUGGGGGGAGAUUCAGAGAUAUUGAUAUCUCAAUUGACAGACAAGUAACCUCACAAAAGAGGGAAAGAGAUAGAACCCCACGCUACUUUCCUCGAGAAAAUGACAGAAACGAGGAAAGGCCUCAAAGGUUCACACACAACAAUUACACACCAGCCCAGCCGGAACUAAAAAAUACGAUUAAAUCCUUUUAUGACAUCAUCAGAUUGGUGCAUCAUUUGAGUAAGGUAACAACUAAAGUGACCGACAACCAACCAAUCACUUUCCAGCGACUCACGCGGCUACUUACAAACACAGUCAGACCAGCAUUUCCUGGGGAGCAGGUUAGAACAAUGCUUGAGGGCAAUGCGAAAAAUUGGUCAUUUACCACACAACUCAUUUUAGAACAGCAUUACGAAACUCUGAUUGAUGAAGCUUUACAGAAUGUUUGUACACAGAACAACCACCAUGAUUGGCCAAAGGCAUUUGAGAUAGCUGCCGGCUGGGCUUAUAGAAAUUUUCACAGUCGAAUCACUCCAGAGUCAAUUGAGCAGGCUGAAGCUCUUAUCACGGUGGAAAUGCCAAGCUCUUCUGUUACACUCAGAGCUGGGACUGCACGUGCACCGACCUACGCAGAAGUAGUGACACGGGGCGGACACGCAUCCACCAGCAGUGUAGCUACCACCACACAGACAGCUUGCACCACAGUUUUACCACAACAAGUAACACGUGCACCUGUCACUACCACUGCACAGUUUGCAGGUACCACAAUAACAACACCACCACGACUAACCACCACUGAACCACCGAUUCGACCCCAGAUUAUAUCGCAUACUAUUGCGAUUCAGACUUCUCCGGGUUUAUUAGUUAGAAAAAAAAGUGGCCUUUUAAAAAUUGUAAUAUAUGUUUUAAUUCUAUGA